GUAGAGAUGGUUUAGUGGUUAAGAGCACUGAUUAUAUUCCAGAGGACCUGGGUUCAAAUCCCAGAAUCCACA
rnacentral:tRNA from 1 species